UAUAGAGUUACAAACUCCAAACCACUGUGAACAUACCUAUGUUGCUUCGGCGGGUUCCCGGUCGUCCGCGGCCGCCCCGCCGGAGGUAUCAAACUCUGAUUUCUAGCGAAUCUUCUGAGUCUUAUAAUAAGCAAUCAAAACUUUCAGCAACGGAUCUCUUGGCUCUGGCAUCGAUGAAGAACGCAGCGAAAUGCGAUAAGUAAUGUGAAUUGCAGAAUUCAGUGAAUCAUCGAAUCUUUGAACGCACAUUGCGCCCACCAGCACUCUGGUGGGCAUGCCCGUCUGAGCGUCAUUUCAACCCUCAGGGCCCGUCCGCGGGACCUGGCGUUGGGGAUCAGCCUUCUGGCUGGCCCUGAAAUCUAGUGGCGGUCCUUCCACGACCUCCCCUGUGCAGUAGUGAUACCUCGCAGCGGGAUAGUGGUCUGGCCAUGCCGUAAAACCCCCUACUUCUCAAGGUUGACCUCAGAUCGGGUAGGAAUACCCGC
rnacentral:rRNA from 1 species